GACGAACGCUGGCGGCGUGCCUAAUACAUGCAAGUAGAACGCUGAAGGAGGAGCUUGCUUCUCUGGAUGAGUUGCGAACGGGUGAGUAACGCGUAGGUAACCUGCCUGGUAGCGGGGGAUAACUAUUGGAAACGAUAGCUAAUACCGCAUAAGAGUAGAUGUUGCAUGACAUUUGCUUAAAAGGUGCAAUUGCAUCACUACCAGAUGGACCUGCGUUGUAUUAGCUAGUUGGUGGGGUAACGGCUCACCAAGGCGACGAUACAUAGCCGACCUGAGAGGGUGAUCGGCCACACUGGGACUGAGACACGGCCCAGACUCCUACGGGAGGCAGCAGUAGGGAAUCUUCGGCAAUGGACGGAAGUCUGACCGAGCAACGCCGCGUGAGUGAAGAAGGUUUUCGGAUCGUAAAGCUCUGUUGUAAGAGA
rnacentral:rRNA from 1 species